UGCUGCCAAGUGUGUGGUUUUCCACCGGGUUUUAGUAUAGAUUAUAACUGGAGAGCUUUUGUUGGGUUUUAGUAUAGAUGGGGAAGGAUCUAGAGAAAAGCUGGGUGGAGAUAUAGGAAGGAAGGACAAAGUUGAAAUAACAAAAAGAAGCAGGAUGGAAAUGGAAGAACACUGUUAAUGAACAGUGAUAACUUUUGUUGGGUUUUAGUAUAUGUAUAAUGUGUUGGCAAUCGUGGAAGGCAGCUGAAUUGUCUCACUUUCAACUUCUCUGCUUCCAUUCCUUUCCUUCUUUAUUCUUCCGAUUCUCUCUCUCUGCGCGACUUAGUUUGGCUUUUUCGUUGAAUUUGGGCACGACGUAGCUCAAGAUCACCACUACAAAGUAGUUUCUUUCCGUCUUCAACUCGACCUCUUCCUGGUCGCAGCUGCAUCAAAAGCUGGACAUCCAGCCGCGUCGCCCCUCUCCAUCCGACUUCCCCCUGUUCUCUCGCUCAGUGGGUAUGACGAUACAGUAGCAUACCAAGAAUCCUUUUUUUUUUAAUCAAAUGAAUUUUAUAUACUUCAUGUGGAGGCAAAAAUAAUCACAAGGCGACACGUGGAUUUUUGGUGGAAAGGACAAAGUUACCCCUGAGACACACCGGUUGUCCUACGCGCGAGCAGUGGACAAUCAUUCUUUAAUCAAGCCAAGAGUGUCCAAAAAAGGUAACCAAUUCCAAAUUAUCUCAUCCAUCCUCAUCUUAGAUAAAUUACUUCAUAACCUACAAAUUAUUCCAUAUAAAUGGAGAUUAAUUGGCUAAUUAAUGGAUUAUUUCCUAA